rnacentral:lncRNA from 1 species
UCUGCAGGGCCUGUGCUGAGGGUCACUCCCAGAGGGAAGAUGGGUCUAUACCGACCCAUCUGUGUGCUGGCCUUCUUGAGAUCAAGAGGCCUCAGGUCUAGGCUAAUAACUCUCAGCAUAGUGACCAGGCAAAGGAGAGAGCAGCUCCAGUCUUUUAUUUAUUUAUGGUUUUCUUUUUGAGAUGGAGUUUGGCUCAUUGCCCAGGCUGGAGUGCAGUGGCGCGAUCGUGGCUCACCGCAACCUCUGCCUCCCAGGUUCAAGCGAUUCUCCUGCCUCAACCUCCUGAGUAGCUGGGAUUACAAGGUGCCCGCCACCUCGCCCGGCUAAUUUUUUGUAUUUUUUUUUUUUUUUAGUAGAGACGGGGUUUCACCGUGUUAGCCAGGAUGGUCUCGAUCUCCUGACCUCGUGAUCCGCCCGCCUCGGCCUCCCAAAGUGCUGGGAUUACAGGCGUGAGCCACCGUGCCCGGCCUCCAGUCUUUUAAAAGGAGGGAACGUGUGAGAAGGCAGUGCAAUCUGCCCCCAGAGUCCCUGGCAAUGGCUGGGGCCCUCUCUGGGCUGAUGAGCAGGUGCCGUCCCCAGGAAGGAAGGAUGGAUGUCCUGGCGCCUGGCAAACAGGGGCAGAGGCAGAGAGUCCCUGCGUUUUCAGUGUCUUUCACUUAGCAGGUCUCAAUAUUUUGGGGAUAACUAUUUUGGCUUCCUCCACUAGCUACGUGAACAAAUGAAUAAAUAAAAAUGAGGCAUUUCUGCUGCUCCUUAGCACAUGGCCCAGGGUGUCUGUGUGUGUACACAUGAGCACAUAGGACCCAAAAGAAAAAAUCGUGAAGAAAAUCCCAAGUUGAGCCCAGAGACAACCUGUCUCUAGGAGACAGGAGCCCACCGGCCCUAGUCGGGUUUACACAGCUGCCCGCUGCCUUCCACAGGGGUGGGACGAGCUCCCUUCCACAGCUCAUCUCAGCUGCUCGUGGGAGGCUGGCCCUGUGGGCUCCUCGGUGAGGAUAUGGUGGUGGUGGACGGGGGAACUGUGGGAGUGGGAGGAGUCAGGCUAAUGCGUCAGCCUCCUGAUUUUAGGGUUCUGAUCAAAUUGGGCUAUUUCUUUCUGAUGAAUGAAAAUGCAGACCUCGUUCCUAGGGAGAGAUGAGGGAGGCUUUCUAUGGCUUGGCGCCGUUGGGCAUCAGCUUCCUAAGAAAGUCUGUGCUUUGGCAACGGCUCUAAGCUUUGCCGUUGUCCACACGCUCCCAUUCUUUGAGCUUCGGUGGUUUAGGAGUUGGCAUUAUUGACUUUUUCCAGAACAGGUUCUGCCUUGUUUUGGAACAGAUGGUUGGGCCCAUUCCUUCUUUUUAGGGCACGACGUGUGUGUGUGUGAAACACCUUUGUCCUCUAACUCCUGUGCUCUUUGGGAAAGAUGCCAGGCAGAGCCAAGUGUUGAAGGGGAGCCUGAGGGUGCUGCGACCUUCCCCUGGGCCUGCACUUGAUGGCGGGGAGGCCCCGGGCUUCCAAACCUCCCUGGGAGGAGAUAGAGCAGGUGGGGUGAGGAAAGAGCAGGAGAUGGCAGGGGAAGCCACACACAAAUGGAAAAGACCCAAAGGAGGAGGUCCGGGAAGCCAGGAGAGCCCUCGUGCCCCCACCCAGGAAGCCAGGCCCACUCUACUCCAGAGCGCAGCCUGGGCCAGCUUCUGUGUCCUGGGAGUCCUCUGUGGCUGGCACUGCCCGCUGCUGACCCAGCAGCCACCCACCCAUCCUCCUUCCACACUGAACCCCAGCGUUCCCUUGUCACCCCACGUCCUCUGCUCAGGGGCUGGCCCCACACUGGUGUCAGACGGACCCACUUGGUCUCUGGGGGGCUGCCUGCACCUGUCUCACUGGUGGCAGGUUCUGGAAUGGGCAGGGGAGGGCCAGGGAGAUGGAAGGAGAGGUUUGCUGUCUGCUUCUGGGGAGACUUUCCUUUCCUUUCUGGAACUUUCUAAAAGUGGUUUCCUCCCCAACCUGCUGGAGGUAGAUGAUGAAGCAUGGAGCCAGGUGCUACUGAGGGCCACCCCGUGACUGAGGGCUCGGCUUAGGAUGAGACCAUCAUGGCUGGCUGGGCGGAGAGAUGGAGAGAGCCUGGGUCUUUGGUGACA